AGAGUUUGAUCCUGGCUCAGGAUGAACGCUGGCGGUAUGCUUAACACAUGCAAGUCGAACGAACCCUUCGGGGUUAGUGGCGGACGGGUGAGUAACGCGUGAGGAUCUGCCCUUAGGAGGGGAACAACAGUUGGAAACGACUGCUAAUGCCCCAUAUGCCGAGAGGUGAAACAGUUAAUUCUGCCUAGGGAUGAACUCGCGUCUGAUUAGCUAGUUGGUUGGGUAAUGGCCGACCAAGGCGACGAUCAGUAGCUGGUCUAAGAGGAUGAUCAGCCACACUGGGACUGAGACACGGCCCAGACUCCUACGGGAGGCAGCAGUGGGGAAUUUUCCGCAAUGGGCGAAAGCCUGACGGAGCAAUACCGCGUGAGGGAGGAAGGCCUUAGGGUUGUAAACCUCUUUUCUCUGGGAAGAAGAUCUGACGGUACCAGAGGAAUAAGCCUCGGCUAACACCGUGCCAGCAGCCGCGGUAAGACGGAGGAGGCAAGCGUUAUCCGGAAUUAUUGGGCGUAAAGCGUCCGUAGGCGGUUAAUUAAGUCUGUUGUUAAAGCCCACAGCUCAACUGUGGAUCGGCAAUGGAAACUGGUUGACUAGAGUGUGGUAGGGGUAGAGGGAAUUCCCGGUGUAGCGGUGAAAUGCGUAGAUAUCGGGAAGAACACCAGCGGCGAAGGCGCUCUACUGGGCCACAACUGACGCUGAUGGACGAAAGCUAGGGGAGCGAGAGGGAUUAGAUACCCCUGUAGUCCUAGCUGUAAACGAUGGAUACUAGGUGUUGGACGUAUCGACCCGUGCAGUACCGUAGCUAACGCGUUAAGUAUCCCGCCUGGGGAGUACGCACGCAAGUGUGAAACUCAAAGGAAUUGACGGGGGCCCGCACAAGCGGUGGAGGAUGUGGUUUAAUUCGAUGCAACGCGAAGAACCUUACCAAGGCUUGACAUCCUGCGAAUCUUUCAGAGAUGAGAGAGUGCCUUCGGGAGCGCAGAGACAGGUGGUGCAUGGCUGUCGUCAGCUCGUGUCGUGAGAUGUUGGGUUAAGUCCCGCAACGAGCGCAACCCUCGUCCUUAGUUGCCAUCAUUAAGUUGGGCACUCUGGGGAGACUGCCGGGGACAACUCGGAGGAAGGUGGGGACGACGUCAAGUCAUCAUGCCCCUUACGUCUUGGGCUACACACGUCCUACAAUGCUACAGACAGAGGGCAGCAAGCGCGCGAGUGCAAGCAAAUCCCAUAAACUGUGGCUCAGUUCAGAUUGCAGGCUGCAACUCGCCUGCAUGAAGGCGGAAUCGCUAGUAAUCGCAGGUCAGCAUACUGCGGUGAAUACGUUCCCGGGCCUUGUACACACCGCCCGUCACACCAUGGGAGUUGGCCACGCCCGAAGUCGUUACUCUAACCGUUCGCGGAGGAGGGCGCCGAAGGCAGGGCUGAUGACUGGGGUGAAGUCGAAACAAGGUA
rnacentral:rRNA from 1 species